GACGUAGGGGGCAAGCGUUGUCCGGAAUCAUUGGGCGUAAAGAGCGUGUAGGCGGUCCGAUAAGUCGGUUGUGAAAGUCCAGGGCUCAACCCUGGGAUGCCGACCGAUACUGUCGGACUAGAGUUCGGAAGAGGCGAGUGGAAUUCCCGGUGUAGCGGUGAAAUGCGCAGAUAUCGGGAGGAACACCUAUGGCGAAGGCAGCUCGCUGGGACGUUACUGACGCUGAGACGCGAAAGCGUGGGGAGCAAACAGG
rnacentral:rRNA from 1 species